AUUGAACGCUGGCGGCAGGCCUAACACAUGCAAGUCGAGCGGAUGAGUGGAGCUUGCUCCAUGAUUCAGCGGCGGACGGGUGAGUAAUGCCUAGGAAUCUGCCCUAGUGGUGGGGGGAUAACGUUCGGAAACGGACGCUAAUACCGCAUACGUCCUACGGGAGAAAGCGGGGGAUCUUCGGACCUCGCGCCAUUAGAUGAGCCUAGGUCGGAUUAGCUAGUUGGUGAGGUAAUGGCUCACCAAGGCGACGAUCCGUAACUGGUCUGAGAGGAUGAUCAGUCACACUGGAACUGAGACACGGUCCAGACUCCUACGGGAGGCAGCAGUGGGGAAUAUUGGACAAUGGGCGAAAGCCUGAUCCAGCCAUGCCGCGUGUGUGAAGAAGGUCUUCGGAUUGUAAAGCACUUUAAGUUGGGAGGAAGGGUAGUAACCUAAUACGUUGCUACUUUGACGUUACCGACAGAAUAAGCACCGGCUAACUUCGUGCCAGCA
rnacentral:rRNA from 1 species